ACGCUCGACACCUACGGGAGGCAGCAGUGGGGAAUAUUGCACAAUGGGGGAAACCCUGAUGCAGCGACGCCGCGUGGGCGAAGAAGUAUUUCGGUAUGUAAAGCUCUAUCAGCAGGGAAGAAACUGACGGUACCUGACUAAGAAGCACCGGCUAAAUACGUGUCAGCAGCCGCGGUAAUCUGAGCGGGCUGGCAAGGC
rnacentral:rRNA from 1 species